UAUUACAAUGAAGAGUUUGAUCCUGGCUCAGGAUGAACGCUAGCUACAGGCUUAACACAUGCAAGUCGAGGGGCAGCAUGGUCUUAGCUUGCUAAGGCCGAUGGCGACCGGCGCACGGGUGAGUAACACGUAUCCAACCUGCCGUCUACUCUUGGACAGCCUUCUGAAAGGAAGAUUAAUACAAGAUGGCAUCAUGAGUCCGCAUGUUCACAUGAUUAAAGGUAUUCCGGUAGACGAUGGGGAUGCGUUCCAUUAGAUAGUAGGCGGGGUAACGGCCCACCUAGUCUUCGAUGGAUAGGGGUUCUGAGAGGAAGGUCCCCCACAUUGGAACUGAGACACGGUCCAAACUCCUACGGGAGGCAGCAGUGAGGAAUAUUGGUCAAUGGGCGAGAGCCUGAACCAGCCAAGUAGCGUGAAGGAUGACUGCCCUAUGGGUUGUAAACUUCUUUUAUAAAGGAAUAAAGUCGGGUAUGGAUACCCGUUUGCAUGUACUUUAUGAAUAAGGAUCGGCUAACUCCGUGCCAGCAGCCGCGGUAAUACGGAGGAUCCGAGCGUUAUCCGGAUUUAUUGGGUUUAAAGGGAGCGUAGAUGGAUGUUUAAGUCAGUUGUGAAAGUUUGCGGCUCAACCGUAAAAUUGCAGUUGAUACUGGAUAUCUUGAGUGCAGUUGAGGCAGGCGGAAUUCGUGGUGUAGCGGUGAAAUGCUUAGAUAUCACGAAGAACUCCGAUUGCGAAGGCAGCCUGCUAAGCUGCAACUGACAUUGAGGCUCGAAAGUGUGGGUAUCAAACAGGAUUAGAUACCCUGGUAGUCCACACGGUAAACGAUGAAUACUCGCUGUUUGCGAUAUACAGCAAGCGGCCAAGCGAAAGCGUUAAGUAUUCCACCUGGGGAGUACGCCGGCAACGGUGAAACUCAAAGGAAUUGACGGGGGCCCGCACAAGCGGAGGAACAUGUGGUUUAAUUCGAUGAUACGCGAGGAACCUUACCCGGGCUUAAAUUGCAGAUGAAUUACGGUGAAAGCCGUAAGCCGCAAGGCAUCUGUGAAGGUGCUGCAUGGUUGUCGUCAGCUCGUGCCGUGAGGUGUCGGCUUAAGUGCCAUAACGAGCGCAACCCUUGUUGUCAGUUACUAACAGGAUUUGCUGAGGACUCUGACAAGACUGCCAUCGUAAGAUGUGAGGAAGGUGGGGAUGACGUCAAAUCAGCACGGCCCUUACGUCCGGGGCUACACACGUGUUACAAUGGGGGGGUACAGAGGGCCGCUACCACGCGAGUGGAUGCCAAUCCCAAAAACCUCUCUCAGUUCGGACUGGAGUCUGCAACCCGACUCCACGAAGCUGGAUUCGCUAGUAAUCGCGCAUCAGCCACGGCGCGGUGAAUACGUUCCCGGGCCUUGUACACACCGCCCGUCAAGCCAUGGGAGCCGGGGGUACCUGAAGUGCGUAACCGCGAGGAGCGCCCUAGGGUAAAACUGGUGACUGGGGCUAAGUCGUAACAAGGUAGCCGUACCGGAAGGUGCGGCUGGAACACCUCCUUUCU
rnacentral:rRNA from 1 species